UCCGUUACUUUCCGUUAAUUAGUGAUUAUUUUUCUCUCUUCUAUUUGGUUGCGUCGAUGUUUUGUCUUGUUUUUUCUGGAAUGCAGCUAGAGUGUAGAUAUGUGGUGGCCCUCUUAGAGAUGAUCUGAAAGAAAAUAUUCAAUCCCAGAUCUUCAAGCUAAAGUAGUAGAGUGAGGUUGUUGCAGUUAAGCAAUUGGAUAGAAAUAGACUCUAAGGGACCAGAGGCUACUUGUCUAUUAGUUCAUGCCCUUGGGAUCAUUGGAAGAUCAUCUUCAUGGGUUCAGCUGCAGAAAGUGCUUUCUCGGGGAUUUGAUGAAAGUUCUUGGCCACUCCAAACUAAAACCGGCAGCUUCUAGAAAUAGC